UAAAAACCCCGACUUCGGAAGGGGUGUAUUUAUUAGAUACAAAACCAAUGCCCUUCGGGGCUCUUUGGUGAUUCAUGAUAACUAUACGAAUCGCACGGCCUUGCGCCGGCGAUGGUUCAUUCAAAUUUCUUCCCUAUCAACUUUCGAUGUUUGGGUAUUGGCCAAACAUGGUUGCAACGGGUAACGGAGGGUUAGGGCUCGACCCCGGAGAAGGAGCCUGAGAAACGGCUACUACAUCCAAGGAAGGCAGCAGGCGCGCAAAUUACCCAAUCCCGACUCGGGGAGGUAGUGACAAUAAAUACUGAUACAGGGCCCUUUCGGGCCUUGUAAUUGGAAUGAGUACAAUUUAAAUCCCUUAACGAGGAACAAUUGGAGGGCAAGUCUGGUGCCAGCAGCCGCGGUAAUUCCAGCUCCAAUAGCGUAUAUUAAAGUUGUUGUGGUUAAAAAGCUCGUAGUUGAACCUUGGGCCUGGCUGGCCGGUCCGCCUCACCGCGUGCACUGGUCCGGCCGGGCCUUUCCCUCUGCGGAACCCCAUACCCUUCACUGGGCGUGGCGGGGAAACAGGACAUUUACUUU
rnacentral:rRNA from 1 species